AGCUCCAAUAGCGUAUAUUUAAGUUGUUGCAGUUAAAAAGCUCGUAGUUGGAUUUCGGAUUAGUGCGCCGGUCCGCCGCACAGUCGGUGUGCACUGGUUGCGUUAGUCUUGCUGUCGGGGACGCGCUUCUGGCCUUAACUGGCUGGGACGUGGAGUCGGCGAAGUUACUUUGAAAAAAUUAGAGUGUUCAAAGCAGGCUUACGCUCUGAAUACAUUAGCAUGGAAUAACGCGAUAGGACUCUGGUCUUAUUGUGUUGGUCUUCGAGACCGGAGUAAUGAUUAAGAGGGACAGUUGGGGGCAUUCGUAUUUCAUUGUCAGAGGUGAAAUUCUUGGAUUUAUGAAAGACGAACUUCUGCGAAAGCAUUUGCCAAGGAUGUUUUCA
rnacentral:rRNA from 1 species